GGUGCCUUGGCCGAGUGGUUAGGCAGAGGUCUGCAAAACCUCCUACGUUGGUUCGAUUCCGACAGGCACCU
rnacentral:tRNA from 5 species